rnacentral:rRNA from 1 species
GUCUUGUUGAUAAUAAUUUCAAGUCUAGCCUGCCCAGUGAGGAGUUUAACGGCCGCGGUAUUUUGACCGUGCAAAGGUAGCAUAAUCACUAGUUUUUUAAUUGAAAGCUUGAAUGAAAGGUUUGAUGAAAAAAAGACUGUCUCUAUAAAAAUUUAUUAAAAUUUUAUUUUUGAGUUAAAAAGCUUAAAUUUAAAUAGAAGACGAGAAGACCCUAUAGAGUUUUAUAUUUUAUAAUUAAAGAAGUUUUAGGAUUAUAGAAAUUUUGUUAUUUAUAGAAGUAUUUUGUUGGGGUGAUAGAAAAAUUAAAAGAACUUUUUUUUACAGAAGACAUUAAUUUGUGAAUGAAUGAUCCUAGGUUAUAGAUUACAAGAUUAAAUUACCUUAGGGAUAACAGCGUAAUUUUUUUUAGAGUUCUUAUCGAAAGAAAAGAUUGCGACCUCGAUGUUGGAUUAAAAUUAAUUAUUGGUGUAGGAGCUAAUGAAUUAGGUCUGUUCGACCUUUAAAAUUUUACAUGAUCUGAGUUUAAACCGGUGUGAG